GCUAAACAUGCCUUGGUGCACAGCCAGCACAUCUUGGCACAGUGUUACACCGUCCGGGUUAUCUGGAUACUUCCCACCAACACCAACCUAUCCGAACUCCGGAGAUGGGAACUUGCCCUUCAGUAUAUCCUCUCUUCUCGUCAUCCGCCAGGCCUCAAUCUCCGCUAAUUUCAAGUUGCCGCCACUCAUACCUCACCUGUCUUUCAACAACUUCUUUGCCUCUACACUUCUGCCUCGACUGACAUCUCUGCCCAAACUCUUUGUCUUUAAAUAUGUCUGCUUGUGUCUGUAUGUGUGGAUGGAUAUGUGCGUGUGUAUACCUGUCCUUUUUUCCCCCUAAGGUAAGUCUUUCCGCUCCCGGGAUUGGAAUGACUCCUUACCCUCUCCCUUAAAACCCACUUCCUUUCGUCUUCCCCUCUCCUUCCCUCUUUCCUGAUGAGGCAACAGUUUGUUGCGAAAGCUUGAAUUUUGUGUGUGUGUUUGUGUUUGUUUGUGUGUCUAUCGACCUGCCAGCGCUUUUGUUCGAAAGUUGUUGUUGGGUCAGCUGUAAGGAGCAUAUGGAUCUCGCACUGCAGAAUUGGCCUUCAAAGUCACCUGGUUCCACUGGUUGUGAUUACUUACAUAACAGGAAGCAAAGAGCUGCCCUAAUAGGAGUGGCUGAAACAAUAAAAUCAGAGUGGGGAACUAUUAACUACGGGCAUGAGGAGGAAUUGCUCCACAAGAAAGCCAUCAUAUCUUAAUAGCAAAUGUAUCUGAGAAAAAUACACAGUUUUUACAAAAACAACUAGAGUGGCCAGCAUGUUCUCCAGAAAUGAACCCUAUCAAACAUGCCUGGGAUGGAUUGAAAAGGGCUGUUUAUGGACGACGUGACCCACCAACCACUCUGAGGGAUCUAUGCUGAAUCACUGUUGAGGAGUGGGACAAUUUGGACCAACAGUGCCUUGAUGAAAUUGUGGAUAGUAUGCCACGACGAAUACAGGUAUGCAUCAAUGCAAGAGGAUGUGCUACUGGGUAUUAGAGGUACUGGUGUGUACAGUAAUCUAGACCACCACCUCUGAAGGUCUCGCUGUAUGGUGGAACAACAUGCAAUGUGUGGUUUUCAUGAGCAAUAAAAAGGGCAGAAAUGAUGUAUAUAAUGAUCUCUAUUCCAAUUUUG